GUUUCUCCCACACUGAGGCCAACAGAACUAUUUGAAUCCAGGCUGAAAAGAGUUCCAGCAAUGUAAGUGCCAGCUACAAAGCAGCUGUGCCAAGAGAAGAGCAGUUGUGAUGAAUAAAUGUGAUGAAGAGCAGUUGUGAUGGGAAAGUCGAAAAUAAUCCAACUGCGGAGGGCAUGGGUGAGGGAAACAAAAAGAGACAAACAUUCGCGUGUCCAAACCAUAGACAAAUGGAAAAGAAGAGGGUCUGCAAUUCAAGGUGAGACUGGUGACACACAGAUGGAACUCAUUACCUGCACUGCCACAUGCUGCUCAAGAGAAAGUUUAAUGAGGGUCAUGGCAUGUGGACCUUUGUUUUCUGACUGCAGCUACAGAAUGAAAGCAAACAAUAUCCACCACACAUCAGAAAUCAAAGAAUUUGAGUGAGGAAUUUAAUGGGCUACAAAGAUGGAUGCAGAGUGGCAGUCUGACAGAAUGGCAUCUGACAUGGAAGUUCAUAUGAAGCGAAGGUCUGCCACUGCGUUCCUCCAUGCAGAAAAAAUUUCACCCAUUGGCAUUCUUCACUGACCCUUGCUGAACAUUUCUGCAGACUAACCAGUGGAUGUGAGCACAGUGAAUCAGUGGGUGGUGUGUUUCAGCAGUAGCAACAGCAACAGUGGUUCACCUCUGCUGGUGCAGAUUUUUAUGAGCGCAGCAUGCAGACUCUUGUUCAUCACUGGAGGAAAUGCAUAGGUAAUGGUGGUGACAGUGUUGAAAAAAAGUGUUUUGUAGCUGAGAAUUUUCUCUGUCAAGUGUUAUUUUUCUCUUUGUUGUAGUUUCCACAUAAAUAAAUAGGAGGCGUUACUUUUGAAGAGAUCUAUGUAAUCUGAUUUAAGAAUUCUAUAUAUUUAAAUGUUAUAUUGUUAGAUAUAAAAUAAUGCAAGAGUGAACACAAAUAUUGUUGCUAAUUCUCUUAAAAAUUGAUUAGGUUCUUAGGAAUGCAAGUAUGUAGGUCAUUCUAAAAGGAGCAGCCCUUGUACUUCAAAGUAUCUGGUGGAACUCUCAAAGAUAUGCACUGUAACACUUACCUUCCAUGUUCUUGACACCAAGGCUGGCUAAGAAGAUACAGGAAAUACUAGAUGUACAAUUUCGGAAUUUUUUUAAUGUGAGCUCUUCAUAAACAAUGAGGGCAAUAAACCAAACAAUUCAACUGCUUAGCUCCAGCUAUUUUUUUAACUACAGCUGCUAACUUACCAACACUGAGCUAAAGUUACUUAGAAUGGAAAUGUCUGCCAAUAAACACUGAUGUCUCUCUAUUAUCGUCCUGACGUUAGCAUGAAGGCAUAGACAUUUCUCUGGUGGCCCAAACUAUCCUGGGAAUCCACUUUCUUUUGCAUUUCAUUCUGUUUGAUUUUCAGGGAAUGGAUAAGAGAAUCAAAGUGUUUCCUUGAAGAUAGAGCCAAAAUUGACUUUAAAUCAAAAACAUAAUGGUAACUCUAGUUUAUCAUAUUCUCUUCUUGAGUAACUGUCGUUGUACUCUCACAUACACUUUACCAAAGCAAAUAUACUUCACCACACUUCACAGUGUGAGUGAUAUGGGGUUAAUCACUUCC
ensembl:lncRNA